GGGUUGUCAUGCCAAUGGCACUGCCCGGGAGCUACAUGCGGAAGAGAUAAGUGCUGAAAGCAUCUAAGCACGAAACUUGCCCCGAGAUGAGUUCUCCCUGAGACUAUAAGUCUCCUGAAGGAACGUUGAAGACGACGACGUUGAUAGGCCGGGUGUGUAAGCGCAGCGAUGCGUUGAGCUAACCGGUACUAAUGAACCGUGAGGCUUAACCUU
rnacentral:rRNA from 1 species